rnacentral:rRNA from 1 species
CGCAGCCGCGGUAAUUCCAGCUCCAAUAGCGUAUAUUAAAGUUGUUGCAGUUAAAAAGCUCGUAGUUGAACUUCGGGGUUUACCCAUUGGUCAGGCUUAAUUGUCUGUACUGGUGAGAUAAAUCUCUACCUUCUGAGGAACUUUCAUGCCAUUUAUUUGGUGUGAUGGGAAAUCAGGACUGUUACUUUGAAAAAUUAGAGUGUUUAAAGCAGGCUAACGUCUGAAUACAUUAGCAUGGAAUAAUGAAAUAGGACGGACUGGUUCUAUUUCGUUGGUUUCUAGGAUCACCGUAAUGAUUAAUAGGGAUAGUUGGGGGCAUUAGUAUUCAAUUGUCAGAGGUGAAAUUCUUGGAUUUAUUGAAGACUAACUACUGCGAAAGCAUUUGCCAAGGAUGUUUUCAUUAAUCAAGAACGAAAGUUAGGGGAUCGAAGACGAUCAGAUACCGUCGUAGUCUUAACCAUAAACUAUGCCGACUA